GACGAACGCUGGCGGCGUGCCUAAUACAUGCAAGUUGAGCGCUGAAGGUUGGUACUUGUACCAACUGGAUGAGCAGCGAACGGGUGAGUAACGCGUGGGGAAUCUGCCUUUGAGCGGGGGACAACAUUUGGAAACGAAUGCUAAUACCGCAUAAAAACUUUAAACACAAGUUUUAAGUUUGAAAGAUGCAAUUGCAUCACUCAAAGAUGAUCCCGCGUUCUAUUAGCUAGUUGGUGAGGUAAAGGCUCACCAAGGCGAUGAUACAUAGCCGACCUGAGAGGGUGAUCGGCCACAUUGGGACUGAGACACGGCCCAAACUCCUACGGGAGGCAGCAGUAGGGAAUCUUCGGCAAUGGACGAAAGUCUGACCGAGCAACGCCGCGUGAGUGAAGAAGGUUUUCGGAUCGUAAAACUCUGUUGGUAGAGAAGAACGUUGGUGAGAGUGGAAAGCUCAUCAAGUGACGGUAACUACCCAGAAAGGGACGGCUAACUACGUG
rnacentral:rRNA from 1 species